rnacentral:lncRNA from 1 species
AAAAAAUACCUAUAAUACCAAAGAUAUACUGAAACAACCAUAUAUACCUAAUAUAUACUAUAAGUCUCAGGUAUUUUGGGUACCGCAUCGGGUAUCAGGUUCAACUCGGGUCGGGUCCAGGACCCCCGAGUCCUCCACAACAAGAUCCAAUAGCGUAAAAUGAUCGGUUUGGUUCCUUCCCGAACUAGAAAUUUUCGGGUUGGGUCUUCGGGUCCGGAUAAAAUGACCAACACUAUUAUUCCCCUUUAUCAGGUUGAUUAGUAAUUUACUAUAAUCUCGUUUCAGAAAAAAAAAAAAAAAAAUCAAUAAACCGGUGCUCGUAGAAGAUUAGUCGUUAAAAUUUGGGCUUUAGGGUAGCAAUAGCUCAGCUGAGGCCCACAGGCUAAGGCCCAUUCUGUUCUUAUGUUUCUCCCUUUCUUGGUGUAGUUUUUCUUCAUUAGCCUGGUUCAUGUCCAAUCAGGAAAGUAGCUUAGUGACAACUGGCCAAAGAAUCUUGGCAAAUCCUCUGAGGUAUGUUCGUUUGCACAAUGGUUAAAUCAAGAAUGAGUGGAGUCUCAUUCAGAGACAGAACUAAGCUUGCAUAUUAAGCUUUUGGCAUAUUAAGCUUUUCAGCAUUGGUCCGGGUCUAUUUUUUUUGAGUCCUUAAACAGAAUCAUAUUACUGAUAAUUUGGAUUUGUUCGGGUUUAAAACUAAAAACCUGACAAAAACCAAAAACUUGAGUUAAACACUACUUAACAUGAAAAAACAGAAAAUAUUCAGGUUUUCUUUUAAAAAAAAAUAUUUUUAUGUUUAUAAAUUAUAUUUUUAGUUAUAUAGUUAAUAUUUUGAGUAUUCGGGUACACAUUCGGUUCUUGAUACAGUUUCUGCUUUUGGGUUUAAAGACACAUGAACAUUUCGGGUGUUUGUAAGUUUUGUCUGGUUUCAAGGUUUUGACUUUUUUGGUUCGGUUCCCGGGUCGAUUUUCGGGUCUCUGAUAAUAUGCCCAUGCCUAUUGUUUCUUUUAUUAUUGCAGCGUCCGGUUCCAUUAUGGCCGUCCUAACAUAUUUGACAUAAUCUUUCUCAUAAAAAGAGGUGGUGUGAGCAAGGCUUCAAAAGUAAUAAACCUGAGUGAGGAUAUCUUUGGAGGUAAUGGCAUCUAUAGAGGAUUAACAGUUAGUUCCAAGCAUAACCAAAGCAGAUACUGAUUAGUUUCGCAAUGCAUGUAGGUUUCAAUUCAACUUUACGUGGGGGAUACAUUACACAUCAUGAGUAUAUUCAAAUUGGACAGGGACGAGAUGUGGGGUUGAACCCUAUCUCUAUUCUUGAAGCUAAAGUAGCAUGAGGGGGAGUAUUGAGAAGAAGAAUCAUCCCUAUCCAUGCUUAAUCAUCCCUAUCCAUGCUUAAUCAUCCAGCAAGUUAUUUCCUCUGUCACCCAUCCAUAGAAACGUAUUCAUUCGACCGUUGGAGACAUGCAAAUGACUUUGGAAGUUGUGCCUUCUCUCUUUACUCAAGAAGCUUGCAUGUUGUAUCUAUUUAUUAUUAUGUCCAGAUCUAAAUUAGUUUAAAUAUGUGUUGUAACCAAAAUUUUCAAGUUAAGAAAAUCAUUUUCUCCUUCUCUCUCUUAAAUAUCUAAAUCUCAAUCUCUUUCUCUCUCUCUCUCUCUCUCUCUCUCUCUCUCUCUCUCUCUCUCUCUCUCUCUCUCUCUCUCUCUCUCUCUCUCUCUCUCUCUCUCCUGUUAUUCAUGUUCUUCAUUCUCCAGAAACUAAACUCCAACUACGUAUCAUAUUCUUACAUGGUAAACUUCUCAAAAGCUUCCGCAAAUCUAUUUCUUUCUCAAAGUAGAGGAGUUUACCUUAUUCUCUGGAACUCAAGAAAGCUUCAGCCAUAUCCGGAAAUGCUUCAUCAAAGUCCAGCCUGUCUUAAAAACAGUAGGAACAGUCUAUUGUCCACUGGUCCACAUCUCUCUAUGAGGGAGAACUCAAAUAUGGUGUUGGUUCCAGAGUACAAGAAGGCUAAGGAACAACAUAAGAAUCAUAAUAUGCGAAGAAGAAGUGAUUUGAAUCUCGCCAAGAAUGUAAUCAAGGUGUUUGAGCAUCCAUCAAUUCAAGGAAAAACCAUGUAUUCAUCUGUCAAUGGUGGUACAAAUGAAGGAGAAACGUGGAGAAGUAUUGAUAGUGCAGCCAACACUGAUGGUCCUGCGACCAUGAGUGACUUACAUUCCUUUAUCAAAGCCUUUAUUUCAUCCAAGAAGGCUGAUACACACUCUCUUGACUCUAAACCUAUCAUUAUAGAUUCAGGAGCAAGUCAUCACAUGAUUAGUGAUAGGAACUUGAUUAGUGAUGUCCAGCCUACCUUAGAGAAUGUUCUUAUAACAAAUGGUGAUAAGGUUAAGAUAGAAGGGAUAGGGAACCUUAGGCUGUUUGAUAGGGAAUCAACUGCCUUGUAUAUGCCAUCGUUUACAUCAAAUCUGCUAUCAGUGAGGAAUGCUACGAUUGAUCUUAGUUGUCAGGUUGUCUUCAGACCAGAUGAAGUUGAAUUUCAAGACUUAAAGACAUGCCAUGUGAUGAGAAAAUGACUCAUUCACAACGAUCUCUAUCAUCUUCAGAAGACCGGGAUGUCUGGACCAUCUACUUCUCACUAUUUGGCGAGUACCUACAACGUGGUUGAUAGCACAUUAUGGCAUGCUAGGUUGGGGAAUCCUCAUUGAAGAACCCUAAGGAACGAACACUCAACCGGAUUGAUAAGGAAUAAAUAUGAACUCCAAAGGAGAACUGGAUGGGAUGAAUGGUGACACAAAAGGCUGCGGAAAGACCUCUUGAUACUACCAGACUUCGAUCGUUGCCGGAUGUGACGCACCGGUCCAACAAAAGAAGGAUUGAAACUUGGAGAUAACCUCACCAAGAAACUAAGAGGUGUUCUAAACAGAGAACAAAGAGAUAAACUCAUAAAAAGGGGAAAACAAUCUGCUUUAUUUCGUGGCUUAUGAGCCAUAUAUAUAGGAUUUGUAGUCAAAGAAAGCCAUAAACAAUUACGGGAAAUGCAAACCUAGGAAAAGACAACAUUGACUAGAAAAUAAUAAAGGGAGUCAAAGUUGGUGAAAUUGAUGAAGACUGGUCAAAGUGACUUCUCCUUCUGCCCAGGUUCAUUCUGGUCGUGCUGGUACUUGGUGUAAGGAUUAUGACGUGAUCAGGACGAUCCAGACGGCCUGUCGGGUGAUUAACAUGAACGGACUGAACUAUCGGAUGAUCUGCUGAACCAAGUUUUGUGAAACAAGUCCUUGGACAGCUCAAGUAUCUAUGCCUUAGUGAAAUAUGAAAGAUAAAAAUCCAUCAUAGGGUCGGACACUGAAGUAAGAACUUCAGUACAGCCUUCGGGACACGCGGGACGCACCAAAAGGGCCAUAAGGGAAAAUCUGUGAACAUCUUUGGAUUCUUCUCGUUCCAAGUGGAUUCUGACUUCACGAUCAGUCUUAGAAUGUUGAAAUGGUUGGGAAAGAAGUGAUGUGGGUUGAUCAAUUCCAUCUCUAGGUCGUGGUUCAAGACUGAGCUCCAUUACAGGCGUCUGUAGGUCGAUGCAGUGGACAACACGUGCGGUACGGUCGGGGUGAUCGGAUGGGACGGUACGGAUGGUCUAGUCAACACGAUCCAAUGGGAAAUUAUGAUCAGCAUGGACGGAAUGAUCAGAUAGACUAUCACAGGCAGCAAGACUGGCAUGAUCCGACAUGAAAACCUCGGUUUGGUCGAGCUGGUUGACAAGAACGCCACCUUGGGCCGUAUCCAUGAUCUGAGCCGUUCGAUGCUCGAUCUGGGUCACAUCACUCAUACCAGAGCCCUAAACCUGAUGCUUCCAGGUGCAGUCUUAAAGAAUGAUGAUUGUGAAGCUUGCAUAUUGGGGGAGCAUUGUAGAACAGUCUUCCCAUAGUCUAGCACCAUAUAUGAAAGAUGUUUUGACCUUGUUCACUCUGAUGUAUGAACUGCUCUGUGUGUGUCCAGAGAGAACCACAAAUACUUUGUCACCUUCAUUGAUGAGAAGUCCAAAUACACUUGGGUGACACUGAUUCAGUCUAAGGACAGGGUGUUGGAUGCUUUCAAGAAUUUCCAGACCCAUAUCUGCAACCAUUUCAAUGCCAAGCUAAAACUUCUAAGGUCUGAUAAUGGUGGAGAGUAUACAAGUCAGACAUUCAAGCAAUAUCUUGCUCAACAUGGGAUUACUCACCAGACAAGUUGUCCUUACACUCCUCAACAGAAUGAAGUUGCUGAGAGGAAGAACAAACACUUGAUUGAGGUAGCAAGAUCAAUGAUGUUCCACACAAAUGUUCCAAAAAGAUUCUGGAGUGAUGUUGUGAUGUCUGCUACUAUCUUAUCAAUAUGACUCCAACUAAAGUCCUCAAUGACUUGUCUCCAUUUGAGGUCUUAAACAAGACCAAACCAUCUUUGGACCACUUGCGUGUAUUUGGGUGCCUCUGUUUUGUGUCGAUACCAUGGGAGCAGAGCAACAAGCUUGAUGCUAAAAGCUCAAAGGCUAUGUUCAUUGGUUACUCUCCAACUCAUAAGGGAUAUUAGUGCUAUGAUCAAAAAUCAAGAAGGGUUCGUGUCUCAAAGGAUGUGAAGUUUGUGGAAUCAAAAGGGUACUAUGAUGAGAAGAGUUGGGAAAGCCUUCAGGAUCUCUCACAAGGAUCUUCUGAUAGGGCAAACAACUUGAGAAUCAUUCUGGAAAGCCUAGGCAUCAGUCAGCCUCAAACCAAUGGGGGUACCGAGCACUUCACCUACACCUCAUGUUGUUGAUGAAGUUGCACCAGUUGUUGAUGAAGCUGCACCAGUAGCAGAAACAGUCUAUCCUGAUCAUGAGGGGGGGGGGGAAAUCAACCUAAUUUGCAAGUUAUUCACGAGGAAGCUAUCCACAAAGAAGCAGCUAUCAAUGAUUAAGUUAUCCGCGAGGAAGUUAUCCACGAAGAAGCUAUCCACGAUUUAGAUGUCCAUGAUCAAGAUGGAAUGCAACAACAGAUUCAACCUUUGAGAAGAAGCACUAGGGUGAAGAAACCAUCCAAGUGGGUUGACAUAAAAGUAUACUUCAACAACAAUGCAAUGGCUCAUUCUAUCCAAGCAAUCUGUUCUUUGGCAAGUUACCCUCAAGAGCAUGUAGUCUUUAUCAGCAAUCUGGAUCAAGAGUACAUUUCAAAGACUUAUGAAGAAGCAAUGGAGCUAGAUGAGUGGACAGAGUCAGUUGGAGACGAAAUCGGUGCCAUGAUCAAGAAUGAUACUUGGUAUGAAACUGAGUUUCCCAAAGGAAAGAAAGCAGUAACAAGUCGCCUACUCUUCACCAUCAAGUAUCUAGCUAAUGAGAAACCAGAGAGGAAGAAGACAAGGCUAGUUGCAAGAGGAUACACUCAAGUAUAUGGAGAAGACUAUCUGGAAACUUUUACACCAGUAGCUAAGCUCCACACCAUAAGAAUUAUACUCUUCUUAGCAGUCAAUUUGGAGUGGGAUUAUGGCAGAUGAAUGUCAAGAAUGAUUUUCUUCAAGGAGAAUUAGAGGAUGAGGUUUAUAUGAGGCCACCUCCGGGAAUGGAAGACUUUGUGAAACCAGGGAACAUCCUUAGAUUGAAGAAGGCUAUCUAUGGAUUGAAGCAAUCACCAAGAGCUUGGUAUCACAAGCUGAGUACAACUCUCAAUGGAAGAGGGUUUGUAAAAUCUGAAGCUGAUCAUACACUCUUCACCCUCACAAGCAAGCAAGGAAUUGUGGUGAUUCUGAUUUAUGUUGAUGAUAUUAUCAUAACAGGAAGUGACAAGGAUAGUAUCAUCUCAACCAAAGCUUUUCUUAAGUCUACUUUUGAUAUUAAAGAUUUGGGUGAGCUAAAGUACUUUCUAGGGAUAGAAAUGUGUCGCUCUAAAGAGAGGCUUUUCUUAUCUCAAAGAAAGUACACGCUUGAUCUUUUAAAUGAGGCAGAAAAGCUUGGAGAAAGAAUAGCUAAGACACCUCUUGAAGAAGGAUACAAAGUCUUGCGUGAGGGGGAAAUUGAAAAUAAGCCAUUUUGAGACUUUAAACUCUAUAGGAGAAUGGUUGGGAAGCUGAUCUAUCUAACCAUUACAAGACCAGACAUCUGCUUUUCUGUGAAUCAAGUCAGCCAACAUAUGCAAGCACCUAAAGUUCAUCAUUGGAAUAUGGUGGAAAGGAUCAUGAGGUAUCUGAGAGAAGCUCCGGGUAAAGGCGUACGGAUGGGCUGCAACAAGAGCACAUAGAUUGUGGGAUAUUGUGAUGCAUAUUGGGCUGGUGAUAGAGUGGACAAGAGGUCUACAACAGGCUAUUGCACUUUCAUUGGAGGCAACUUGGUAACUUGGAAGAGCAAGAAGCAAAAGGUGGUUUUAUGUUCAAGUGCUGAAGCAGAGUAUAAAGCAAUGAGGAAGCUCACUAGUGAACUUAUUUGGAUCAGAAACCUGCUUGGAGAUUUGGGCAUAGAGACAACAACACCAAUCACAAUGCAUUGUGAUAAUCAGGCGGGUAUUCAUAUAGCAUCAAACUCAGUAUUUCAUGAGAGGACAAAACACAUUGAGGUGGAUUGUCACAAGGUGAGACAAGCUGUGGAGAAACUAUUGCCUUGCUACACAAGGAGUGAAGAUCAACUUGCUGACAUCUUCACCAAAGGAGCAAGCACCAAAGCUUGUGAGUCCAUUCAUCCAAGGUUAGGACUCAUAUAUAGACUUGUCCAGAUCAUGAUCCUCUUUUUCAUGAAUCAUCUACUCUUUUUCCUUAGUGUGUUUUUGUCCCACUGGGUUUUGCACACUAAGGUUUUAAUGAGGGAUGUGUUCAUGACUUUCCAAGUUUGGCUAUUCCUUAUGCUCAAGCUUGAGGGGGAGUAUUGAGAAGAAGAAUCAUCCCUAUCCAUGCUUAAUCAUCCAUCAAGUUAUUUUCUCUGUCACCCAUCCACAGAAACGUAUCCAUUCGAUCGUUGGAGACCUGCAAAUGACUUUGGAAGUUGUGCCUUCUCUCUUUACUCAAGAAACUUGCAUGUUGUAUGUAUUUAUUAUUAUAUAUGUCCAGAUCUAAAUUAGUUUAAAUAUGUGUUGUUACCAAAAUUUUCAAGUUAAGGAAAUCAUUCUCUCCUUCUCUCUCUUAAAUAUCUAAAUCUCAAUCUCUCUCUCUCCUGUUCUUCAUUCUCCGGAUACUAAACUCCUACUACAUCUCAUAUUCUUACAGUGAGCAAACGCUAAUUCGUGAUGUUUACCGUUUAGGGCCUAGGUUCGACUUUUACAGGAUGCACUCAUUCUAGCAAGGUAUGUUCCCACAAGUUAAUAUCUUUCUUCCUCCACAAGUAAACCUUUUAGGGCUAAGUUUUGUGUUUGUUUCAGCUCACGGUGAUUACGGUUUAUGCAUUCUUGUAUGGGCGUAUGUACAUGGUUAUGAGUGGAGCAUAGAAAGAGAUCCUAAGGCUCGUAACUCCGAAUCAGCUAGCCGCUCUUGAACAGGCUCUGGCUACACAGUCAAUAUUUCAGCUAUGGUUCUUGAUGGUGUUGCCUAUGGUAAUGGAGAUUGGUUUGGAGGAAGGUUUUCGCUCUGUGUUCUUCACGUUCCAGCUUGGGACAAAGUCACAUUACUAUGGGAGAACAAUCUUACACGGUGGGUCCAAAUACAGACCAACAGGACGUGGUUUUGUUGUAUUCCAUGCCAAAUUUGCAGAGAACUACAUAUUCUACUCAAGAAAUCACUUUGUGAAGGGACUAGAUCUACUGUUAUUGUUGAUUGUUUAUAACGGUAUCUAUGUGGUUCAGGGUUGGCUCUUGGUUGUUUGCACCGUUCAUAUUCAAUCCUUCAUGGUUUGAGUGACAAAAGACAGUUGAUGAUUAGACUGAUUGGAAACGAUGGUUGGAUGAUCGUGGUGAUAUAGGAAUUCUAGUUGAUAAAAGCUGGGAGUCUUGGUGGAGUGUUGAGCAAUAAUAUCCCAAACAUACGAAUAUUAGAGGGAGGAUCCUGGACAUAUACACUUGCUCCUCGCUUCUUCAUUUAUCAGUAUGGGAUUGUUUACCAACUCAAUAUUUUUCAGAGGAGCAACAACUUUUUGGUAAUAAAAGAAGUCAUCAUAUUUCAUUUGCAUCUUUUAGUUUGGCCUGUGACCUAACUAAAAUAAGCCAAACGCUCAGAGACUUCAUCAUCCCCCUCCCUCACUCCUAUUAAAAUAAAAAUCUCGGCAAAUCAAAGACAACAGCAAAACACAUUAUAUCACCUCCACAUACUUAUAUGAAACAACAAUUACGUCCAUAACGACCCCUGAGCGGGACUAUACUCCUAGUAUCUAUUAAUUUGAAACAGAAAAUAUCAUUUAUCUCUGUUAAUUUAAAUGAAACAAUCAUCCUUUCCCUUGAUUUUUUCUGUUUUAACUAAUGCCUUUCCCUUGAUCUAAACACUAAUUAAACAUGUAAAUGACGUUAUAAUCGAAAAAAUCAUUAUUACCUAUAAAAAACAUAUCUUUGAUUUCAAAUCUUGUAUAGUAGGAGGCUAUGGGAAUGUACAUUUUUGUGUAACAUUCUUGUACAUGAAAUUCAAAUAUAGAACGUGCUAAGACAAAUGUAAUAAUCAUAUAUGUUAUGAUCAAUUAAAUAGUAGGAAAAUGAAGAAGAAACAGCCGAGUGAUUUUGGGAGCCUCUCCUUAAUAUUCUGCGUGUUAGAUGCGCUACGCUGUCUUAAAUUAUUCUCUUUAUUUUAUUUUCAUUUAUUUACCUUUAUUUAUUAAUCUAUUGAAUUUUCCACUUCUGGUUGCUGUUUCUCUUCCCUUCCUCUCUCUCUCUAAGGAUUCGAUUGAAUCUAAAACGCAGGAAGGAGAGAGAGAGAGAGAUCAUAAGCUUCGCGUCUUUGCUGAAUCUCUCUCUAUAUCGGCGUUUCUUCCUCUUCUCCGUCCCUCACAGAUUCGCGAUCCGAUUUGGCAUCAAGCGCACAUUUCCGUACGUAUUAUCGCUUAGCGUUCGUUUGGAUUUCAUUAUAGAUCUAUGUGUUUGAGAGAUUCUCCCGACGAGCUGGUUCUGAUCACUAUUCGUGUAGAGGCGAUAGAUUUGCUUAAGAUCUGUGGUAGUUGGCUGCAUUUUGAAUGUCAGUCUUCCCGAAUUGAUCGAUUUUGAUUUGAUUAUAAUGUGUUUUUUUUUAAGGUUGAAUCUGAAGGAAGAAGCAGUCAAUCAUGUUCACGUCAUUUUUUGCUGAUUGAUUUGUGUGUCCCAUUCCUUGCUCAAUUAUAUGAUUUUGAUGCAUGUUGCUCGCUUACGGCUUGUGUUAUUGUUGAAUUCAUCUUCUAUUAACUUCAAUGAAAUACCAACUUAUGCUGAAGGACGAUUCACUUUGAUAUUCAUCUUCUAUUCGUUGUGAUAUAUGUUUGUUUGAAACAGUUCGCAGCAAAGGGUGAUCAUAUAAGUUUUGCAACAGACUUCUUAGAGGGCGUUUAACACAAAACGAAGAUGAAGAAAGUCUUCGGUCAAACUGUCAGAGACCUGUGAGUAUUUUGUAAUCGCUCUGUGAAAUAUUUUUUUUUUCAUUAACCAUGCUUGAUUAUACGUUCUGUUUGUUUUUGUAGCAAGAGAGAGGUCAACAAGAAAGUGCUCAAAGUGCCUGGAAUAGAACAAAAGGUAAAGGAUACUCUUUUAGCAUAGCUCCUUCCUUUCUGAUCUCUUUUGGUUGAGUUUAGCUUAAAGUAAAUAGAGAAGCUUUUCUUUGUAGAACUCCUCCUCCGGCUAAUAUGGUUACCAAUUUAAAGCAAUAUAUACAAUAUAGUUUCAUGUUGUUUCUCACCUCUGGUUUUUCCUCUUCAGGUUCUAGAUGCUACUAGCAACGAGCCAUGGGGUCCUCAUGGUUCUCUUCUUGCUGAUAUUGCGCAAGCUUCAAGAAAUUAGUAAUUACUGCUACCUUCCCACUGCUCUGUUUUUCUGUAGUGAGGAUAAUGCACAGCAAUAACAGAAAUGUUACUUUUCCUGCAGCCAUGAAUACCAGUUGAUCAUGGGGGUCAUAUGGAAACGACUUAGCGACACUGGAAAAAACUGGCGGCAUGUCUUUAAGGUAAAGAAAACAAAUCCCUUGUUGGUUUAUUUCUUGUUUGUAUUGCUGUAGCAAGUGAAUGAAACAAUUUCCUGUUGGUUUUUCCCCUCCUAUCCACUUCAGGCUUUGACAGUUUUGGAGUACAUGGUAGGCCAUGGGUCAGAACGUGUUAUUGAAGAGAUUAGAGAGCGUGCAUAUCAAAUUUCGGUAAUGACCAUGCUGAGUACAUUAUAUUAUAAGUAUUCAGCAUCGAAAGAAUCCUUUCGUUCUGUAUCUUAGCAGUUGACCUUCUGACAUUUUAUCCAUUUUCCAUGUGGUAGACAUUGUCCGAUUUCCAGUAUAUUGAUUCCGGUGGUAGAGAUCAAGGAACCAAUGUUAGGAAGAAAUCACAGAGCCUGGUGGCGUUGGUCAAUGACAAAGAGAGAAUAGCUGAGGUCAGAGAGAAGGCUUCAGCCAACAGAGAUAAGUAAGUUUGCUUGUAAUUGUAUCUUUGUUUUUUUAAUUGUUGUAGUUUCCUCUCUAUUUUAGCCUCGCUGGACCCUUGUCUGAUUUCAUUUGUACCUAGUGGCCUCACAACUGUUAUUAUGCCUCUUAGUAGUCUAUUUCAUUUGUAGUUUAAAAAUAUGCUUCGGGAGCUGGACAUAUUAACCUGACAUUAUUUUCACAACAGGUAUCGCAGCUCAGCACCAGGUGGGAUGUAUAAGCCUUCAGGAGGAUACGGGGACAAAUAUGAUUACGGAUCCCGGGAUGAAGAGCGAAGUAGUUAUGGAAGAGAAAGGGAAUAUGGUUAUAGGGAUGAUGAUAGAAAUAGCCGUGAUGGAGAUCGUCACUCCAGAGACUCUGAAGACCGGUAUGGGAGAGAUGGUAACAGGGAAGAUGAUUACAGAGGAAGGAGCAGAAGUGUUGAUAACUACCAAAAUGGGUCACGAGGUAGAAGUUCAGAAAGGGAACGGACAUUUGAGGAUGAUGGCCAUUCAUCAAGGUAUGUUGAUCUAAAGUUUCACCUUUCCUUUGGACUUGAUCUAAAAAGGAAUAGUUUUGAGAUUAAACAUAUACACGGGAUAAAAUAUUUGAUUGUGAUAGAUGCCAAAAAAGCAUGUAUCGAGCCUCUUCUUAGCCUAGUUCCACUUAUACAAUGAAACAUUCAUCUUUAUCGUGUAGGGGUAGUGGUGCUCGAGCUGAUGACAGUUCUCAGGAUGGGAGGUAACUAAGUUUAGGCCUUUUUCUUAUUGUAUUAAGUUUUGUGGAUUUAUGUCAACUUAUAAGUCAUAACUUCUUUCGGGUUUAUAUGACAGAGGGCAGCUCCAGAGGAAAUUUUCUGAACAAAAUAUUGGUGCUCCACCUAGUUAUGAAGAGGCUGUCAGUGACUCAAGGAGUCCUGUAUAUAGUGAAAGGUGAUAAUUCUCUGCUAUGCAGAAUUAGAGCUACCUUCGUUUUAUUGGUUCUGAUGAAUCUUUUUAUGCCAGGGAUGGUGGAGAGACCCCACAAGCUGCUGCUCCAGAAGCUGGUUCUCCUCCCCCACAAGCUGUUGCUCCAGGAGCUGGUUCUCCUCCCCCACAAGCUAUUACUCCAGGAGCUGCUUCUCCCUCUGCCCCACAAAUAGCUGCUCCAACGGUUGCUUCUCCUCCUGCUGGAAACAACACAGACAAUAAAUCUACUGGUUUUGAUAAUGAAUCUUCUCCUCAGAACAUUGAGGCUUUUGAUGAAUUUGAUCCACGCUGUGCGUUUUCAGGUACAGAGUUCUCAAAGUUUGCGAUUCUUUAUGUUCAUUGUUUGUUUUUGCCUUUCAAACUCCUCUGCUCCAUAGAGAUCAAAUUUUAUUGUUAGUUUGGUUUUUAUAUUGUUAUUCCAUUAACCUUUCUGCUUGUUCUGAGUGAGCGUUGUGCUUCGUAUCUUUCCCAGCUUGUCCUCCAGCAUAUGCAUCUGCGGACGGUGUUUCAGCUCCUCCAACAAUGGCUUCUACAUCUGCUCCUCCCACCUCAAACAGUGUUGAGAUGGACUUGCUUGGCUCCCUUGCAGACGUAUUUUCGCCAAAUCCUUUGGCCAUUGUACCGGCUGAGUCUACCUCUGUUGAAACCAAUGGACAAGCCAAUGCUCCAUCGUUUUCUACAUCUCAGCCAUCAGCUCAGGUAUUGACAGAGGGAUUAAGCAGUUGUACUCGCGGAUGCCUUCUUUUUCUUUGUAACAUUUUGAUUAUUGCUGACUAAAUCAUCCCCCAUUAUACAGACAUUUGAUGAUCCAUUCGGUGAAUCUCCUUUCAAAGCCUUCACUUCUACGGACAGCGACUCAAACCCGCAGCAAAGCUUUGGUGCUCCUUUCCAGCCAACACCACCAGCCUUCACCUCGGAGGUCUCUCAUCCUGAUACAGCUCGUAACUUUGGCUUUGGGGACUCAUUUUCUACUGUUGCCAAUCCCGAACCUGGUGUUCAGAAUAUGCAACCUCCAUCAAACUCACCAGGUUUUCUUCAAGAGCAGUUCGACACAUCUGACAAUGAUUUUGAUAUUCUUGCUGGCAUACUCCCCCCGUCUGGUCCUCAAGUUUCAGUCCCUCAACAAUCGAGUGCCUCAGUACCAACAUCUCAGUUUCCUCCCAGUGGAAACAACAUGUACGAGGGAUAUCACCCUCAGCCGGUAUCUACAGCCCCAAACAUGCCUGGACAAACUCCAUUUGGGCAAGCUGUACAACCAUAUAACAUGGUUCCUCAUUCACAAAAUACGACGGGAGCCACACCGUUUCACAAUGGAGGCUUCAUGCACCAGCCUGGCUCAGCCGUUUACAAUCCUGGAGUAGUCACUUCACACCCUACAAGCGAAAGCUUCCAUCCACGGCCAGUUGCUGCCACUUCAUCGAGCUCGCAAACCCCUUACUCUACCCCAAGUGGGCCAGCUGGUCAGUUCAUGACACACCAGGGUCAUGAAAUGUCGCCUUCUCAUGCUCCACAAAGAACUCAAUCCGGGCCUGUUACUAGUCAAGGGAACAACAAUUUCAUGGGAGACAUGUUUACACAAGCUGGACCAACAAGCGCUGUGACUUCAUCGUCAUCAUCCCAUUCAGAUCUCACACCUAUAACAGGAGCGAUUGAGAUCGUUCCUCCGCCUCAGAAAAAGUUCGAGC